rnacentral:misc_RNA from 1 species
GCCUUGGCCAGCUCGGAGGCCUCGACCGGGCAUACCCGAAACCCGGCUCUCUGGAGACGAUCCCGGGUCCGGGGGAAUUCACGCGCGUGGAUAAUAGCGCCGUUCACGGGGAGCGCAUUGGCGCCGAAAGGCUCGCCGGGAUCGGCGUCGAUCAGCCGGAACCCCUUGAACGCCGCGGUGUCGGUCCACCCGCGAUUGAUAAG